rnacentral:rRNA from 1 species
CUUUACUGUAGCCUGGUAUUGGGUUCGGGCUUUGACUGCGCAGGAUAGGUGGGAGACUAUGAAGCAAUCCUUGUGGGGGUUGCUGAGUCAACGGUGAGAUACCACUCUGUCAGAGCUAGAAUUCUAACUAAAUGCCGUUAUCCGGCUUUGGAACCGUAUCAGGUGGGCAGUUUGACUGGGGCGGUCACCUCCUAAAAGGUAACGGAGGCGCGCAAUGGUGCUCUCAGGCUGGUUGGAAAUCAGCCGUAGAGUGUAAAGGCAUAAGAGCGCUUGACUGCAAGAGCUACAACUCGAGCAGGGUGGAAACACGGCCUUAGUGAUCCGACGGCGCUGAGUGGAAGGGCCGUCGCUCAACGGAUAAAAGUUA